AGCAGCCGCGGUAAUUCCAGCUCCAAUAGCGUAUAUUAAAGUUGUUGCAGUUAAAAGCUCGUAGUUGAACUUCGGGGUUUACUCAUUGGUCAGGCUUAAUUGUCUGUACUGGUGAGAUGAAUCUCUACCUUCUGAGGAACUUUCAUGCCAUUUAUUUGGUGUGGUUGGAAAUCAGGACUGUUACUUUGAAAAAUUAGAGUGUUUAAAGCAGGCUAACGUCUGAAUACAUUAGCAUGGAAUAAUGAAAUAGGACGGAUUGAUUCUAUUUCGUUGGUUUCUAGGGUCACCGUAAUGAUUAAUAGGGAUAGUUGGGGGCAUUAGUAUUCAAUUGUCAGAGGUGAAAUUCUUGGAUUUAUUGAAGACUAACUACUGCGAAAGCAUUUGCCAAGGAUGUUUUCAUUAAUCAAGAACGAAAGUUAGGGGAUCGAAGACGAUCAGAUACCGUCGUAGUCUUAACCAUAAGCUAUGCCGACUAGGGAUCGGAUGAUGUUAAUUUUUAAUGA
rnacentral:rRNA from 1 species